rnacentral:rRNA from 1 species
ACCGGUACAAGCGAGGUAGGAGUGCAUCAGGCAAAUCCGGUGCACAAUCUGAAGACGUGAUGUGGGGCGUAAAGCCGGAAGUAUGUGAGCUGGCUGCCAAGAAAAGCCGCUAUUGUUUAUGAUAUACCCGUACCGUAAACCGACACAGGUGGAUGAGGAGAGAAUCCUAAGGCCGACGGGAGAAGCAUUGUUAAGGAACUCGGCAAAAUGACUCCGUAACUUCGGGAGAAGGAGUGCCAUGUAAAAGUGGCCGCAGAGAAUUGGCCCAAGCAACUGUUUAGCAAAAACACAGGUCUAUGCAAAACCGAAAGGUGAGGUAUAUGGGCUGACGCCUGCCCGGUGCUGGAAGGUUAAGGGGAGAGGUUAGUCGUAAGGCGAAGCUUUGAACUUAAGCCCCAGUAAACGGCGGCCGUAACUAUAACGGUCCUAAGGUAGCGAAAUUCCUUGUCGGGUAAGUUCCGACCCGCACGAAAGGCGUAAUGAUUUGGGCACUGUCUCAACAAUGCACCCGGUGAAAUUGAAAUACCAGUGAAGAUGCUGGUUACCUGCGCCAGGACGGAAAGACCCCAUGGAGCUUUACUCCAGCUUGAUACUGGGAUUCGAUAUUGCAUGUACAGGAUAGGUGGGAGACUGAGAACUGAUGACGCCAGUUGUCAGGGAGUCACUGUUGGGAUACCACCCUUGUAGUAUUGGAUUUCUAACCAGCAGCCGUGAACCGGCUGGGGGACAAUGUCAGGUGGGGAGUUUGACUGGGGCGGUCGCCUCCGAAAGGGUAUCGGAGGCGCUCAAAGGUUCCCUCAGAAUGGUUGGAAACCAUUCGAAGAGUGCAAAGGCAGAAGGGAGCUUGACUGCGACACCGACGGGUGGAGCAGGUACGAAAGUAGGACUUAGUGAUCCGGUGGUAUAAAGUGGGAUUGCCAUCGCUCAACGGAUAAAAGCUACCCUGGGGAUAACAGGCUUAUCACUCCCAAGAGUUCACAUCGACGGAGUGGUUUGGCACCUCGAUGUCGGCUCAUCGCAUCCUGGGGCUGAAGUAGGUCCCAAGGGUUGGGCUGUUCGCCCAUUAAAGCGGUACGCGAGCUGGGUUCAGAACGUCGUGAGACAGUUCGGUCCCUAUCCGGCGUGGGCGUAGGAUAUUUGAGAGGAGCUGCCCUUAGUACGAGAGGACCGGGGUGGACUGGCCGCUGGUGGAUCUGUUGUAUUACCAAAUGCAUAGCAGAGUAGCCAAGCCGGGACGGGAUAAACGCUGAAGGCAUCUAAGCGUGAAGCCCCCCUCAAGAUGAGAUAUCCCAUAACGUCAAGUUAGUAAGACCCCUUGAAGACGACGAGGUAGAUAGGGCAGAGGUGGAAGUG